AUUGAACGCUGGCGGCAGGCUUAACACAUGCAAGUCGAGCGGGGGAAGGUAGCUUGCUACCGGACCUAGCGGCGGACGGGUGAGUAAUGCUUAGGAAUCUGCCUAUUAGUGGGGGACAACAUCUCGAAAGGGAUGCUAAUACCGCAUACGUCCUACGGGAGAAAGCAGGGGAUCUUCGGACCUUGCGCUAAUAGAUGAGCCUAAGUCGGAUUAGCUAGUUGGUGGGGUAAAGGCCUACCAAGGCGACGAUCUGUAGCGGGUCUGAGAGGAUGAUCCGCCACACUGGGACUGAGACACGGCCCAGACUCCUACGGGAGGCAGCAGUGGGGAAUAUUGGACAAUGGGGGGAACCCUGAUCCAGCCAUGCCGCGUGUGUGAAGAAGGCCUUAUAGUUGUAAAGCACUUUAAGCGAGGAGGAGGCUACUCUAGUUAAUACCUAGGGAUAGUGGACGUUACUCGCAGAAUAAGCACCGGCUAACUCUGUGCCAGCAGCCGCAGUAA
rnacentral:rRNA from 1 species